rnacentral:rRNA from 1 species
CAGCCGCCACGGGAAUACAGAGGGUGCGAGCGUUAAUCGGAUUUACUGGGCGUAAAGCGUGCGUAGGCGGCUUCUUAAGUCGGAUGUGAAAUCCCUGAGCUUAACUUAGGAAUUGCAUUCGAUACUGGGAAGCUAGAGUAUGGGAGAGGAUGGUAGAAUUCCAGGUGUAGCGGUGAAAUGCGUAGAGAUCUGGAGGAAUACCGAUGGCGAAGGCAGCCAUCUGGCCUAAUACUGACGCUGAGGUACGAAAGCAUGGGGAGCAAACAGGAUUAGAGACCCCAGUAGUCCCUGUCUCUUAUAA